rnacentral:rRNA from 1 species
AGGACGAACGCUGGCGGCGUGCUUAACACAUGCAAGUCGAACGGAAAGGCCCGCUUGCGGGUACUCGAGUGGCGAACGGGUGAGUAACACGUGGGCAACCUGCCCUCAGCUUCGGGAUAACUCUCGGAAACGGGUGCUAAUACCGAAUGUUGACAUUUCCUCGCAUGGGGUUGUGUUGAAAGUUUUUCGGCUGGGGAUGGGCCCGCGGCCUAUCAGCUUGUUGGUGGGGUGAUGGCCUACCAAGGCGACGACGGGUAGCCGGCCUGAGAGGGCGAUCGGCCACACUGGAACUGAGACACGGUCCAGACUCCUACGGGAGGCAGCGGUGGGGAAUAUUGCGCAAUGGGCGGAAGCCUGACGCAGCGACGCCGCGUGAGGGAUGAAGGUCUUCGGAUUGUAAACCUCUUUCAGUAGGGACGAAUUUAGACGGUACCUGCAGAAGAAGCACCGGCCAACUACGCGCCAGCAGCCGC